rnacentral:rRNA from 1 species
GACGUAGGGCGCGAGCGUUGUCCGGAUUUAUUGGGCGUAAAGAGCUCGUAGGCGGCUUGUCGCGUCGACUGUGAAAACCCGUGGCUCAACCAUGUGGUCUGCAGUCGAUACGGGCAGGCUAGAAUUCGGUAGGGGAGACUGGAAUUCCUGGUGUAGCGGUGAAAUGCGCAGAUAUCAGGAGGAACACCGACGGCGUAGGCAGCGCCCUGGACACGACCUGACGCUCAGGCACGAAAGCGCGGGGAGCGAACAGG